rnacentral:rRNA from 1 species
UACGUAGGUGGCAAGCGUUGUCCGGAUUUACUGGGUGUAAAGGGCGUGUAGCCGGGCUGACAAGUCAGAUGUGAAAUCCCGUGGCUCAACCACGGAACUGCAUUUGAAACUGUCGGUCUUGAGUAUCGGAGAGGCAGGCGGAAUUCCUAGUGUAGCGGUGAAAUGCGUAGAUAUUAGGAGGAACACCAGUGGCGAAGGCGGCCUGCUGGACGACAACUGACGGUGAGGCGCGAAAGCGUGGGGAGCAAACAGGAUUAGAUACCCCUGUAGU